UACAGAGGGGGCAAGCGUUGUUCGGAAUUACUGGGCGUAAAGGGCGCGUAGGCGGCCUGCUAAGUCGAACGUGAAAUCCCUGGGCUCAACCCAGGAACUGCGUCCGAUACUGGUUGGCUUGAAUCCGGGAGAGGGAUGUGGAAUUCCAGGUGUAGCGGUGAAAUGCGUAGAUAUCUGGAGGAACACCCGUGGCGAAGGCGGCCAACUGGGCCGGACCUGACGCUGAGGCGCGAAGGCGUGGGGAGCGAACAGG
rnacentral:rRNA from 1 species